ensembl:lncRNA
AGAAAACUAUUACUCCUUUCAAAAGAUAGAUAAAAAUACAACAAAUAUAUGAACAUUCAAUAAUUUUUAAAUGAUAAUGUUUAUAUCAUCUCUUCUAUUUACAAAAUGUUCCACUUUGCAAAAACAUGUUAUCCCCCAAUGAGGUCUGUUUUUGUUGUUUGACCUGCUCUGCAACAAACACUGGACUUUCCUAACAAAUUUAGAUAUGGCGUUUAUAGGAAGUGAUGUUGGAUGUUUUCAUAACGUGGCUUUUUGAAACUAAAAUUCAGUAAAUAGAAAUAUCAGUGAGGGGUCUUUGGUUGGAGAAACUGAACUGCAAGAUCAGGGCUUUUCCCACCCACUUUUCCCCCCGACAGCAGGCCCUAUGCACUCCCAUUCUCUGUAUCUGUCUCCUAACCUGACCACCGCCCCCCACCACCAUCUUUCCAUGGUGAUAGAGCUGUUCACCCACAAGAGUGCUAAAAGGUCAUUGUAAAGGUAAUUUUCUUGUAAUCAGGAAAGAUGGAAACAAAUAAAAUGUGAAUGCAUCAUUAUUACUAUCAUCGGCAAGGCUGAGAAACAGAUUGUUGGAUAUAUGAUUAACAUGUUUGAAUAUAUGAGCUGUGAAUGGCCUAUAAGUUCUAAUACUAAGUCAAGUUCAGAAAAUGUCUUUAAUGAAGUUCUAAAUAUGAAUAUGAACUGCUCAAUGCCUUAUUUUGGCAUUCCUGCUGUUUAACGUGUUUAUGAUGUGUUUUGACUAUUAAACUGUAAAGUCUUUCACUGUUUAUAUUCCCUCACACUCCCACUGCAUACACUAUUAUUACCAUACUUUUUAGAAUUUUCUGGAAGAGUCUAUUCAGUCACAAUCAUUGUAGACAGAUGUUAGUAUGCAGAGAUUUUAAGCACAGAAAGUAGAAGCAAUGUUACCACAUCUUCCACAGACUAUCUCCUUAAAAUACUUGUGAAUUAUUUUUGAAAACUCACAAAAUUGUGAAAUUUCUACUGGUGUCUGAAACCAUCAGCUACAUCUUCUGUUUUUAUUUUUUCCGCUUUUAUUCACCGUCCGGUUAAAUUGGAUACUCUGGUUGUUUCUGAUUAAAAUCUCCUUGCUAAUAUAUAUUCCUCUCAUGGCUGUUCGUUAUGCAUUAUACAUUUCCUUUCCCAAAAUGAAAUCACUGCUUUUUUGGUAUAUUUUAAUUUUAUUUGCACCGCUUAACUUUCAUAUAUAGAUUUUUAGCAAAUGACCUCGUUGUAACUGUCAGUUUACUAUCAACCGAGCUUUCUCUUGGGCAAAUUUUCCACAUCCACUGUUCACCUCAAUCACCCACUGUGGUUUCCUGAUCUCUCUCUAACUAUUUGGUGGCUUCAAAAGCUGAUAUUUUAUGGUAUUCAAUAGUAAAACUAACAAUAAAAGCUAUCAAUAUUCUAAAAUAGGACAUUUUGAAAUCUAUUUCUACUAGAGAAAUGAAUUAAACAAAUGAACUAGAACAUGUAAAAAAAUCCCGUCUGGAUGUUAAAUAUAAACAUAUGAAAAAUAUGGAAAUAUCACUGAAUAGAUAUAAUUAAUAGUGCUUUAUCAGAGUAAUAUUUUUGUAAGGUUAAAAAAUAAAGAACACCUUUUGUUUCCAUUAUUUAGGCAUUAGGACUGUUCCCUUUAUGACAUGUACUGGUCAGCGCUACAUGAAGACUUAUCUUUCUUUAUCUGAACUUCAAACCAUGCUACCAGCCACUGCUUGUGAAACACCACUUUCUGCUUUAGUUAUUUUCACAAGUCCUACUGCCCGCAGUACACUGCCCCCUCUUUGAGGACACGGCGUAUCUAUAUGAAGGCUGAUGGCUCUCACUGAUCCUAGCUUGCUAUUUUUACCACAAUACGUAUUCAUCUAUAAACCAACUUUACAAAAGAAAAUAUCUCAAAUCAGAAAUGUAAUGUUUAUUUCAUAUGAUUAAACUUUUCCCCAUGAUCCCAGACACUUGUUAGCUCUUUAAAACAAGUUUAUUCUUAGUUAAUAGCUCUGAAACUUUUUUAAAAAUGAAAAGACAGAGAAAACCCAGUGUUAAAUGCAAAUUUUUUAAAAAACUCUUUGCAGGAGGAAAUAUCUUUAUUUCGUGAAUUUAGCUAAAGAGGGACUCGAAUGGAGUUGAUAUCUGUAUGGAAAUCAGCCUUUGGAUUACAUAGUAUUUACCAAAGCUCUUUUUAAUAAUAUGAUGUUAUUUGAUAUCCAGAUGAUUUGAAUAAAUUGGCAUUGUUUAGGGAAAACCUAUAUCUUCAUACAUACACUCAUGUACAAAUCGUGUCCAUGCUUCAUGGGAGUAUGUACCUUGUCAAUUAUUAUUCACCUCUUUGGGUAUAUAAAAGAUACAUCUCUCGAUUUCUUAAAACAAUGGCAAAAGAGAAGAGAGUUUCCCUUUUGGAGAAUAUCCCCUACUUGAAGCGUACUACUUAUUUCAGAAACAUCUUCGCCUUUUUAAAAUAAUUGAUCUCAGUGGAAAAGAAAUUCUCCACUCUACCCAAUAUGACUACAUUUCAUCUUGAAAGUAAUAGAUCCUGAGCUGUUUUAACAAAGGAUAAUCACGGAAACCUAGAGUAAAAUCUCAAAAAUAGUGGGAAAAGUACCAAAUACAUAAUGCCCAAUAAUCUAACACAAAUCCAUCAAAGAUUCUUCACUUUUAUAGAUGUCAUAGGCAUGUGUGGUAAGAUGCCUCUCAAAAAACACAAAUAAUUACCUGCAACAGAUGUACUGGAAUCACUAAAGCUCUAACUAUAAUAUGUAGAAAACUGCAACCAUGUAUUUGCUAGGGGUUUUUUCAAGGAGAUAGCUGUAAUAAUUUCCCUACCUCAAACCUAAAAAUACAAAAUAUGUCUAGAGAUAUUUAAGGCCACACGUCAACAGCUCUUCUUGAAUCCUCUGCUUUGCAAUCAAUAAUUCUCCAGCCACUAGUGAAUAUGCUCCAUGACUCAUCAAAAACGGUAUACGCAGUCAAUGGGGAUCAUUGUUCCCCUCAUGCUCCACACAUGCGUUGACACUGACAGCAGUUAUGCCUCCUAUAGUGGGAGACAGCAUCAAGAUGGCACCAAGCCGGGAGGCAACUCCUCUGAGGUUCUCUAUAAAAUUGCCCCACCCAAAGGGGAACCCACUACAUCCAUCCUGUCUUACAUCUUUGGCAUCCUUCAAGGAAAUAAAAGUAGGCAUACUUUAUAUGGAUGGAAAGCGACUGCAUUUUUUCAGCUUCACACUCACUGUGCAUGGCAAAAUGUACUUCAGUUAUGAAAAUAUCUGGAAGGAAUGUUUCCAGGACCUAUGCCAUUGUGCUCUGUUUACCAGUCAGAUGCUUUCUCAAGAAUGUGUUCAAAUUACAAAGACAACAUCUCCGUGUAUAGGAAUUCUUCAAAGCCCAUAACAUGACUGCAGAAACAUAUUUUCACAUUUCCUAACAUUCGAACGCAUGCCCUCUUCCCCACAGGUGAAAACCCUUCAAUCUCACACAUCCAUCAAACUAUGAUUAACAUUUGGUCAGGAGUUUGUCUGGACUGAUUUGAUGUUUUUAUUUUCUAAGGAAGGAAAGUCACAGAAAAGGAAAAUACAUAUUAAGCAUUUGAGGAUAAUUGCUAUUUACUGAAAACUCUAUUUUAAAAUCAAUUUUAGUGACUCGUCUAAGUUUGGUAACUUCAGGACAAUGAUAACUCUAGUGUCUCUAGAAUGUUCCUAAGUAGCAAUCAUACUCUGUUCUGGCCUUUGAGAGGUGUUAAGACUCAUCCCCUAAUUAUAAGCCUUUUCUCUGUGAUUGCUACCUCACCACUAAAUCUCCAAACUAAAUACUAGUUUUGAGGAAAUAAAAAUAGAUGUUUGGUGUGUUUUCUCAAAUUUUGGUUACAAUGGAUAAGAAAGACGAGGUAUUUCUAUGUAUAAUAAACUUCUUUAGCUUGUAAAAAUAAGAGUCCAUUUUGUUGUGUUCUGACCAGCAAACUCUUUAGGCUUUCUCUCAGAAUACUGCUUUCCUGCUUCAUUCUAGAACAGCACUGCCCAUUAGAAAUACCACGCAUGCCACAUUUGACACUUUAAGUUUCCUAGUAGGCGCAUUAAAAAAGCAACGGGUGAAAUUAAUCUAACAAUAUAUUCUAUUGAAACCAAUACAUCCCAAAUAUUAUCACUCUAACAAAUAAUCAAUAUAAAGAUAUUAAGCAGAUGUUUUACAUUCUUUCCUUCCUACGAAGUUUUCAAAACCCAGAUGUAUUUUCCACUUCGAGCAAAUCUCAGCCCAGAUGAGCCACACUUCAAGUGCUCAACAGCCACAUGGGGCUAGUGGCUACUGCAGUGGACAGCACAUUCUACAUUUCCAAAAAUACGAAGUUUAUAUGCUUUAACAUCUUCCUAGGUAACAUCCUCUGUGAUGGGUAUUGCUGUUAGGAUUUCAUAUUUAGCAAACAUUUAAGUGAAUGUACUCCACUUCCUCCCUCCCCUCCGUGACCCUCAUAUCUGCUGCCCAGCCUGCUGUCUCUUUCUUAGCGUGUAAGAAACUCCAAUCGCCUCUUCUUUGGAGCCUCUCCUAAGCAAGAUGUGAGAUGCUUUCUAAUCUGCGCAUCUUCUAUCACCAAGCAGAAAGCCAGAAGGUGCAGCAAAGCUCCUUUCUCUGGUUCCAUAAAUAGACGUAUCAAGAACAGACCUAAUGUAUGGCGACAAUGAUAAAUGCAAGGGCAAUAUUUCUGCUUACAAUGAAGACAGGAAAUUCUAUAUAAUAAAGUAACACACUCUUCCUCAAUGAGAAAUGCGAUUUUACUCUUUUUUUCUCCCCAGGAGAAACCUUGGGAUAUUCUGUUCCUGCUCUGGAACAGAACCCAGUGUUUCAUUUCAUAGGAAUUCUGUGCCCAGAGGAAGAAGAGAAUUUUGGAAUCAAAAUUUAAUGAAUUCAACUUGGAGUCUCAGUAUGCCUCAAAUGUGGGGAUGCAAACACAAGCAGUAAUAUCUCAAACCAUAAAACACUCCAGCGUCUCUCUUGGCACUGCUGCACAGAGAAUCACGCUUAUGUGUAUCUACACACAGAUUUGUUCUUGGUUACAUGAGAAGAAAAUUAAACUAGGCACAUGUGAGGCUGAAUCUCCUAGCAAUAAUAAAACCUGAUGAUUAUGUCUUAAGUGACACUGUAAUUAUCGACGGAUGGAUGAACAGGUUUUCUGGUGCUGACCCAACCUGUUCCCUAAAAUACAAAAGGCAGCUUUUGUAGUGCUCGGCGAGGAAACCCCUUAUUAAACAAACAGAACUAGAAGCUAUGUCCACAUUUUCAAAGAAGGGCUAACAACACAGUAAUCCAAAAACAUUUCACGCCAUGCACCAUACACAGCACGGAUGAAACUCAGAACGCUGUAAGCUUCCUAAAAAAGUCCUGAGCUACAGUUGUCCCCAACUUUAAGAAAGCAAAGAUACAAGUGACAACGGUGUGCUUUCUCCAGCUACAAAAUAACUUUAUUCAGCGUCUCUCUGGCCAUAACUACAUCCAAGACCUUCCAAGUACUGGGCUAAAUAUUCUUAGGAUGAAUUUUACAAUCAUUGAAUCUUCAUUUUAACUUGUCUCCGUGAUCUUUUAUCUCAAUAGCGAGACAAGGAGAAACACCAAGGCUCUCAGGAUCCCACAGAGAUAACACGGAGUGGAUCACUUACGCUGGUAUAGAACAGCUAUGGACUCAGUACCCCCGGGUAUAAACAGACGCCGUGUUCAAACCCAGGAGGGAGGAACACCGCGUCCACGGGUGUAGUAUUUCAAAGCGCGUUGCAGAGGGCCUGCAAAUCCAAAGGCAUUAAUGACGACUUCUCUCUCCGUGUAUCAAUUUGUUUAAGAAAUUCCUCCGAGUGUGGCAGAGCCUACCACCCAUUUGCUACAGCUUGCGCCUGUGCCGGGGGCCACACGAAGUAAAGGCAGCGGCAGUCGCCUUUCUGGCAGCUUCUCACUCGAUCUUAAUCCUAGGGAAGUACCCUGCACGGAAUCACCCCACAGAGCCCCGGCAGCCGCACACCCCGCGUCCCCGGGGAGGCCGUGCACACAAGAGCCCUUCCACAGCACCCCGCCGCCUGCGCGCUGCUGGGAGGGCGAGCAGAGCUCCGCCAGGUACCUGCUCGUGUUACAGGCUCUGGAAUCAAAGUAUUCUCACAUGACACAUCACUGCCAAUAACAGAUUCCGGCUCCAUUAAAAAAAAAAAAAGUGGUGGGGGGGGGCUACAUAUUUGUCCUGCUUUUGUCUAAAACCCAGAACCCAAGUACUAACACUUUUCCUUCUCAAUCUUUCAUGAAAGCAAUUCAAUCAAGCUACUGCGGCUCCACCCAGAGAGCGUCUAUACUUACUUUUCUUACAGUUUUUGAGUGACGCACUACAAAACGAUGGGGGAAAAAAAAAAAGGAGCCCUCUGGUCUCACGCAGGGCGUCUUCCGCCCUGUAAACUUGGCAAAAGGCGAACUGGACUGAAAUCCAGCACUCUCCAUAUAAGGAAGCCCAGCUAAACAUGUCAUGCGUAAUUUACGGGUAGCAGGCAGAGAAUUAACCUUUGCGUGCACAUCUUUGGCCCCGGCGAAAACCGGGCUGGAUGGCAGCCCCGGGGACGGGGACGCGGGGUCUCCCGGGAGAAACCGGGGCUCCCAUCCCAUGGGCUUGCAUCCGCCCCCGACAAAGGUCAUUAAGUUGUGGGCUGCUUUGGGAAGUUCGUCCCGUGACAGAGGAGAGGGAGACACCCACUAACCUGAGAGAUCAGCUGGAUCAGCCCUGGAUAUCAACAGUCGGCAGACCCCCAGCUGGAUCACCCACACGUCACAGAGCCAGCCGCGUCUCAGUAAGACCGGUAUAAAGUUUCACAAUGCAAUGCAGCAGUCAUCCACUUUCAACUUUUAUUAGACUCGAUGAAAAUUUAUGUCUUAGGUAGUGUGUCACAUGAACGUAAUCUUAAUGAAACAUAGUAAAAUAUAUGUCUAUAUUUCAAAAGUCAAAAUUUAUCUUUUCCAGCAAUAAAUUAUUACAACAUGAUGUCUAAUUUUACUUAACGUGGAUUUGGGGGCAGGCUCUAAAUGCUUUUUCUUAUGACAGCAUGUGAAAUAAAAAGCAUGGGCAAUGUGUCCUGCUGUUCUAAUGAUGACAAGAAUAUUCUCUUCAACGAUCUGUGUGUCUCACGGAAACUCAGUCAGAUAAGCACUAAUUUUUUUCUGUAGAUAUAAUUUUCUCAAAGACAGAACAAAUCCUAAAAUUAUUUUCCAUAAUCUAGAACCAGUUUGUUUGCUCAGAGAUUUUAGUAAUUCUCAGCAACAACAACAUCAACACAUCUGUCUUGUCAGCAAGAUAGCAUUCCCUCUGCUUCUCUGGCCUUUGUUUGCCAUUCUGAAUUACAGGACUGAUCAAUUUAGAUUGUAAUUUCCUUGGGCUAUGUUUUCUCUUGGUCUUAUCAGUUAUUCAGCAUAAUACCACAUUAUGUCUAACACACCCACAGCACUUAAUAGUUUAUGAUAUCAAAAUACCUCAUACUUGAAAUUCUGGACAUUUAAAAAGACUUCCAUCAUUUUCUUUUUAAAGACAGGGGCAUUAAAACAACAAACAACAUAAUCAAGUUGUAAUGGAAAUAGUUUUGUUUAAUUAUCGUGUGACACAUAAAGCUGAAGAUGCACAAUUUUAAUGGAUUUCUCACAACUCCAAACUUAAUUUAAAAAUUUUGACCUAGUUAAGGAUGUUGAACUUUAGUCAACAGUUCAUUUCCUAAAUUUAUAACACUAACAAUGUGUUUUUCUUCUCUCUAUAAUCAAAAGAUAGCUACUCUCGUCACAGAAGCUUGCAUAAAAAUAGUUUUAAAAGACCAUCUUCCAAGUAAUGUAAUAGAACCAGUAUGACAACACCAUUUACCAAAAUUGAUAAAAAUUAAAUCUGUUAAUUGAUGGAACAAUACAUACUUUCUUGUUGGGGGAGCCAUGCGAUUGAUUACUCUAAUUUAAAAAAGCGAACCAAGGUAAGUAAGUUUUAAAUUUAUUAUUUGAACAUACAUAGUAUAUAUAUUUCUUGGGAUAUUUCCUUACGAGUCCCACACAGCAAACGCGUGAUGUGUGCCGCCUUCUCAAAUGAGUAAGUUAUAGAAGGGCUAGUAGCAAGUUACCCAAACGUCCAUAUAUACAACCAGACUUGUUCACUUACUGCAUUUUUCUUUUUAAGAUGUAUUGAACUCUGUCGUGUUUUUACCAACAUAUAUAAAAACCAACUGCUUUUAAAAGGAUGAUUUAAAAAUCGCUGUAUAAUGAAUACAAUUGUAUUAAAUAGUUAAUAUAUAUAAACAUUACUCUAGAUUGGCACAAACAAAAACAAAUUUCUGCUGGAUUUAGAUUACUUUAGAAUUUCCUAAUGAGAUCAGUUUCAACUUAGUUGGAUCUCCGAUUUGAAUCCAAACGAUCUUACUUUGUUGCAGUUCUCACUCCAUUUUUAAGCGUCAUAACCGCAAAUUAGUCUUAAGACAAACACGAAUUUCCGUAAUUAGAUUCACUUAUGUUUAGAUUUUUAAAGCAUACCAUCUACACUACAAAUUGCUUUUUCUAAAGUAUUUAAAUAUUAUCAUGAUGUGAUGAUAUGAAAAAUAACUGAAAUGUCACAUUUUAAAUAAUACAACGUAUUUUCAGUGGAUAAAAAUAAAUACAAGAAUAUCUUUUUCUUGGAAAAUGUCCAACUAAUAAUAUGCGACAUUAAAGACUGAUAUAUGUGGAAGAAUUUAGAAAUGUUAAGAAUUUACUGAGGCUAGGGGAAGAAAAAAAUUCUCAAAGUUUAUUAUACAAAAAUUCUUUUAGCACUAAAUUGUGUAUAAAAUUAUGAAAAAAGAAAACGUUUUACUUUGUGGUUAAAAUAAUUUAAGAUCAAUAAGAACCUUAAAAUUUUCCGGCUUUCUUAAAAGUUGCAUGUGAAGUUGAAACUUUCUGAAUUUAGUAAACUUUUUCGUUUAAAGUAUUGACUACUGCUUGAGAGAGGUGUCAGCUUUAUCUAACCUACUUUGUAUUCCACCAGCAUUUAAACCGUUGUUGUAUAAACAGCAAUCCAAAUAAUAAAAUGAAAAGUAGCAAGUAAGUCUUUCUUCUUACCUCUCUGUCUUAUUUAUAGUUGCUUGUGAAGCUGCAUAAAUAGUUGAGCUAAACUAACGGCAACUCCAAGAGCUCUCUUCUCUUCUCUGGUCACAUUUUUUUCCCUCUGCAAGAGGACAGUGUAGCAAAAGAGGAAGCUGUGAAACACCAGAGUCACUAUGCUUUAUACGGUCCGUGGAGAGCAGAAAAUUAUUCACGAAGCUUAGCCUUGGAGUCAUGAUAAUAGGCUAUAAUUUGUGUAUGUGCAUCUAUAAUUAAUGUACACAUAUAUUUAUACAUGUAAGCAAUUUUAGAAAAGUUAAGUUAUAGAAAUCUAUACUUGAUUAAGAAAUGUUCAUUUACAGAAGGAGACACCUCCUGUGUGGCUAAAUGAUAAUCAGAGAAAAACAGAAAACACUGAUCUACGCAGAAGAAGACUGUCAAGCUGACACAUGAGGGAUAAACUGACUUUCAUAAGGCUAAUUAAUUUAAAGUCUUUGGAGUAUGAUCUAAAUGCUAAUCCGAUUGCAGACAUCUUGUAAAAAGAAAAAAAAAACUUCAGUAAACGGGCAUUUUCCUGGAAUCUGGGUAGUGGUUUUUUACCUACAAGUCUUGAACUUCCUUUCUCAUGAAGAGUUGCCUGCUACAUACAGAUAAAGCAUUGCAAAACCGAAACUGUCGCUUAUCCACGAGCUAUGGCCUCUCUCAACUUCAGCCGCAAGAAUAAAAACAGGUGCAGAUCCUGCAAUGCUGAACAUUUACCAGUUAAGUUUCUAACAUGUUGGAGCACUAAUUGAAAAUAUUUACAAAACAGUAGGGACAAUGGUUGAAAAAGGACAUGAAAACAGUUGAUCAAAGCAAAUAUUAUUGUCAAUGCCAAAUAAAAGGAAAUACUCAUAUAUAUACGCAUACACACUUAUAUAUAUAUAUAUAUACUUCUCCCAGGCUACCGGUUAACAGAAGCAAAUUAGCAGCUGCAAUUUGUACGUGGCAGUCCCUCCCACCCUCCCCUGCUGGUUGGGGAAGAGGAAAGGUGUGGAUUGCAAGAAUCACUUAGCAGUUAUGCAAACCUCCACACAUUGCAAGAACCACUUUCUGGAGUUUAGAAACUAUCGUGUUCUCAGGGUAUCACAGUCUGCUUUUUAUUGAACCAUAUUUUCAAAGGGGCAAUAAAGAGUAAUUAGGGAUGAUUAAAAAUGGAAGCAUUUUCCAUUUCACUCAAACCCAUACUUACUGCGAAUUUGCAGGAAGUAAAAGUAAAUGAACAAACAAUACCAAGAAGACUGCCUCCACACAAAAAAACAAAACAAACAAAAGAACCACCAGAGUAUUCUCAACAUAAAAUUUUAUUUGAAUUCUUUAGUGAGACACUUGUAGGAAAAUCCUUGAAGAAAAAGUUACCGAUGUGAUUAAUAUUGCUUAGACUCUAUGUGUUUUGGGAAAUGUUAAAUGUUAUUGUAUUGACUAUUAGUAUAAAACACUAGGUCCUUCCGCUUCCCAAAGACCCAGGCUCACUAUCUGAAGGGUGGUGCUCAAUGUUGGGCAUGAUCUUAAUGUGCUAGCUUGAUACUUGUGUCCCUUUGACCUGGGUCGUGGACGUAUGUCUCUGGUUCUGUAACGAUCCUUUCCAGGCUGGCGAACAUGCUCAAGGUUCCUCUAUUUUAAAAAAUUCUCCUCUGACUGAUCUGCCCCUAUUACUUUCCUUUUUGAGAAAGUUGUCAUCAUUGACUUCCUUCAAGUCCCCAUAGCCUUUGUGUGUGGUAGAAUAUACAUAAAAUAAAAUUGACCGUUUUUGUCAUUUUUAAGUGUGCAGUCCAGAGGCAUUAAGCACGUUCACAUUGUUGUGCAACCAUCACCACCAUCCGUCUCCGGAUCUUAUUCAUCCCCCUAAACUGAAACUCUGUGCUCAUUAAACAAUAACUCCCCAUUUCUCCUCCCCAACCAGCCCCUGGCGACCACCAUUCUACUUUCUGUCUCUAUGAAUUUGCCUUCUCUAGGGACCUCGUAUAAAUGGAGUCACAGAAUAUUUGUCCUUGUGGCUGGCUUAUUUCACUUAGGUUCAUCGAGGUUGUAGCAUGCGUCUGAAUUUUAAUUUGUAUUUACCUGAUUGCUAUGGAGAUUGAACAUAUUUUAAUGUUGUAUUCCCUUCAUGUUUCCUGUUUGGUAAAUUGCCUGCUCCUCCAUUCCAGACGUUUGUUUAUCGGAUAUUGUCAACUUCUUAUUGGUUUGUAAGGUUAAAUUUACCUUGUGUUUCAAUGUAUUGUAUUCAUUCUUUUUUUAAUGCUCCAGUCAUUGGUUACUGUAACUUUUUGAGAUGACCCCAAUGUUCUUCAAUAAUAUCUUUACCUUCUGGCACAACAAGGAACCCAGGUUCUUUUUAUGUUUCCUACCCAGACCUGAACCUGAACUUAGGCGUUUCUCUAAAGGACAUUAGUUCCUUUCAGAGACCAGGUUUAAAAGAAUUUUUUUUUAGGAAGAUUAGCCCUGAGCUAACAUCCGUGCGCAUCUUCCUCUGCUUUAUAUGUGGGACGCCUGCCACAGCAUGGCUUGAUAAGUGGUGCAUAGGUCCGCACCCAGGAUCUAAACUGGGGAACGCUGCACCGCCCAAGCAGAGCCGUGAGCUUAACCACUACACCGCCUGGCGGGCCCCUGGGACAGGGCUUUUGAGACCACACUUUAGACCUUAGUGGCACUCAUUGUUACUGGGUUAUCAUUAACAUUAGGAAUACACUGACUUAUCAUAAGCAUUAGCAGUUAGUCAACAAAAUGUUAGCUCUUUCUAUAUGCCCAGCAGCACAUACAUGCAAGAUAAAUUUAAACACGUAUUAAAAGUUUAUAAUGUGUGUUAAUAUUACAUCAUAUUUUGCAUUAAAAUAAUUUAAGAAUAACAUAUCUGAUACAAAAAUAUCUUCUUUUGAAUAAAAAUUUGGUCGUAUUUUCUUAUAAAAGGAUAGUUUGAUAAGGAAAUGUAGGGGCCGCCCAGUGGUGCAGCGAUUAAGUGCGCAUGUUCUGCUUCACCGGUCCAGGGUUCCCCAGCCCGGAUCCCGGGUGCGGACAUGGCACCGCUUAGCAAGCCAAGGUGUGGCAGGUGUCCCACAUAUAAAAUAGAGGAAGAUGGGCAUGGAUGUUAGCUCAGGGCCAGUCUUCCUCAGCAAAAAGAGGAGGAUUGGCAGCAGAUGUUAGCUCAGGGCUAAUCUUCCUCAAAACAGACAAACAACAACGACAACAAAAGAAAGGUAAUAACAUAGUAAUUGUCAUAUCUUGCAUUUAGAACUUUGAAAAUACCCUUCCAAAGAAAUUUCAAAAAUCGUGUAGAUUGGAAAAAUGUACUCAGCUUCCAUAUUUUCCAUUAGUUUCAUCCACAUUUAUCAUUAUGAUUCUCAGUCUCUGUUUCUUUCAAUUUUUUUGCUAUUAUGCACUUAUGACUUAAAAGUUAGCAA